UGAAAAAACAAAAAACUUAAAGGGACAUAGAUCAAAAAAGAAGAAUUCAAUUUGUCAUUAUUUUCUAAUUAUAUAAUUCUAUUCUUAGAAGAUCCAAAAAGUUCCACCAGAAAACCUCUAGAUCUGUUAAAUGAAUGCAUCAAAGUAGCAGGAUAUAAAAUCAACUCUCCUAAAUCAAAGGCAUUUCUGUACAUCAGUAACAAACCCUCUGAAAAAGAAACUCGAAAAACCACCCUAUUUCCAAUAGCCUCAACAAACAAACAAACAAAUAAACAAACCUUGGGAAUCAACUUAAUGAGAGAGGUUAAAGACCUCUACAAUGAACACUACAGAAUGGUAAAUAAAGAAAUUAAAGAAGGUCAUAGAAGAUGAAAGAUCUCCCUUGUUCUUGGACAGGCAGAAUUACUAUUGUAAAAAUGACCAUACUCCCAAGACCACUAUACAGAUUUAAUGCAUUUCCAAUUGAAAUCCCAAAGACAUUCCUCAUAGAAAUAGAAAAAGUGGUCAUGAAAUUCACCUGGAAAAAUAAGAGCCCAGAAUAGCUAAAGCAAUUCAUAGUAAGAAGAGUGAAGUGAGUGGCAUCAUUGUAUCAGACCUAAAUUAUACUACAGAGAAACAGUAACAAAUAAGGCACAGUAUGGGCACCAAAAUAGGUUUGUAGACUCAUGGUGCAGAAUAGAUGACACAGAGACAAAACCACAUAAAUGCAGUUAUCUCAUAUUAGACAAGCCCACCAAAAACAUAUAUUUGAGAAAGAACAGCCUCUUCAACAAAUAGUGCUGGGAAAACUGGAAAUCCAUAUGCAAUAAAAUGAAAUUAAGCCCCUAUCUAUCACCAUGCACAAAACUCAACUCAAUGUGUAUCAAGGACCAAGACCCUGUGCCUAAUAGAAAAAAAGUACUGCCAAAUUUUCAUCAUGUCUAAUUAGGCCCUGAUUUCCUUAGUAAGAGUCCUAUAGAUAAAGAAAUAAAAUUAAAAAAUCAAUAAAUGGGAUGGAUUUAAACUAAAAAGUUUCUUCUAAGCAAAAGAAACAAUCAGUGAGGUAAAUAGAAAGCCUAAAAAUCAGAGCAAAUUUUAACCAUAUGCACAUCAGACAAAGGAUUAAUCUCUAGGAUAUAUAAAGAACCCCAAAAUCUUAACACUGAAAAAGCAAAUAACCAAAUCAAUAAAUGGGCUAAGAAAUUGAAGGAAGAUUUCUUAGAAGAUGAUAUACAAUCAAUCAGCAAAUUUUUGAAUAACAUGUUCAACAUCUCUAGCAAUUUGAGAAAUGCUAAUGAAAAUUAAGAUUUCAUCUCACUCCAGUCAGAAUGGCAGUUAUUAAAAAUACAAGCAACAAUGAUUGUUGGUGAGGAUGAGGGGAACAAGGCACACUCACAUAUUGCUUGUGGGACUGCAAAUUGUUACCGCCAAUCUGGAAAGCAGUUUGAAGAUUCCUUUGAAAACUUGAAAGGAACCCCCAUUUGACCCAGCUAUCCCACUCCUCGGUUUAUACCCAAAGGACUUAAAAACACCACACUAUAAUGAUGUAGCCACAUCAAUGUUUAUAGCAGCAUAAUUCACAAUAGCUAAAUUGUGGAGCCAACCUAGAUGUCCUUCAGUAGAUGAAUGGAUGAAAAAAUGUGGUAUAUAUACAAAAUGGAAUAUUACUCAGCAUUAAAAGAAAAUAAAAUUAUGGUGUUUUCAGGUAAAUGGAUGGAGUUGGAGAAUAUUAUGCAAAGUGAAGUGAGCCAAACACACACACACACAAAAACAAAUGCUGAAUGUUUUCUCUGAUAUGAGGAUGCUGAUCCAUAAUGGGGAAGGGGAGGGGGAGUUUGGGAGGAAUGGAGGAACUUUAGGUAGAGGAAAGGGGUGGGAAAGAGGGUGAAAUGAGAAUGAUGUCAUGACCCUAAGUACAUGUAUGAAGACACAAAUUGUGUGACUCUACUUUGUAUACAACCAGAGACAUGAAAAAUUGUGCUCUAUAUGUGUACAAUGAAUUGAAAUACAUUCUGCUGUCAUAUAUUGCAAAUUAGAAUAAAUAAAUAAAUUUUUAAAACUAAUUAGGGAAAUGAAUUAUGGAAAAUAACAAAAAAUAUGGAAAUUUGCUUUUUAUUUUGUUAAAUAAAUACCUAUGUAA
rnacentral:lncRNA from 1 species